rnacentral:lncRNA from 13 species
UGCAAGGCAGAGUGCAGACUAUAGACACCAUACGGAUUGAAGAAGGUUAUAUUUGAGACUGGGGUUCAAGUGGAAGUCAAACAGGAAAAAAAGAGAUAUUCAACAAAACCUUAGAGACUUGAAGCCAGAAUCCGUCAAAAAUAGGAGUAAGCUCUGGCCCCACAUUGCUGAAAAUGCAACUGAAAAUGAACUGGCUGUGCCUGUGCCUUGCUGAGAGAUGAAG